rnacentral:rRNA from 1 species
CAAAAAGACCGCGAAACCGUUAGGAGGGAAACGAAUGCAGCUGAAGCGGCUCCCCGUCAGGCUCAGGAGGAGGCGGAGGGUUCCCGGCGGCGGGCGGAGGCCGACGAGGCUCCGGUUCGCCGUCGGGCGGGGCCCUUUUCCGUCCACUCUGCACUUCUGCGGGGAGCCGGCCAACGGCGGUUGCCCCCGGCUCUGGAGGCGUUUUCCGGGGGAGGUGGCCCCGCGCUCCGGCGCGGGGAGCGUACAGCCCCGGCGCCCGGCAGUCCGGGCGAUUUUCCACGCGAAAGCAGGCGACCGAGGAGAGACGUUUGCGGUCCCUCGCACGUCGCGGCGCGGUCCUUCCUCCCUCUCGCGGGGCCCCCUCGGGGGUGGCGCGGGGGCGGCGGAGGGCUGGACCUCUCCCGUCGGGUCGGCGGCCGAGGCGGCUCACUGCGCGUCAGUGGUCGUCGACGGUUCCGUCGCCUUCCGGCGGGGGGCGGGUCACACCUCG